UAAUUUAGAAGAGUUAGAGGAAGACAUAUUUUUCUCCAAAAUACUUGAGGAAGGAGCUGGUGAUUCGGAGGUCAUUGCUGCGUUUGAAAGCUUCACACACGUAUUGAAGAAAACCUUUUGGUCUAGGUACAAGAGGAUGGCAAUUUCUACCCAAAAUGUUCUGAGGACGUCUGAACGGCAUAUUUUGGCAUUAUUGAAUCAGAUUCAUCAGGGCCGGCUGAAUGAACUGGAACACUUCCACAAGACAGUUACCCAGGAACUUGCCAAUCUCGAGAAGAGAACUCGGUUUCUUUCUAACCUUGAGAAGGAUACUUUGGAUACAGUCCAUGGAUUCUGAGCUGGAGGGAGCAGCAAAGAAUCUGGAGGACGCAGCCCAAAAUGGAAAGUUUGAUGAAGCAGAAGAUCAUGAGGAGAGAAGCAAGACUUCUGUCAUUGCCUCCGACUGAUUAAAAUUAAUUUAAGCUGACCCGAAGAGCUCUGAUCAAUGCUGACGUGUCUGAAUCAUUUCUUAAAAUAUGCUGGACAAAUGCCUUCAGUCCAUAACUAUAAACAAUUGUCUGUUAACAUGUACAUCGAUGCUUAAAUGAGUUUUGCUCUCUCUCUUUCCCACAAGGGGGUAGUGUUGAGGGGUUUCUGGUGCCAACAAUUUGGGAAAUGCAUAGCGUAGCUGAUAUUUCAGUUGAUAUCAUUCCUUCCCAUCCUUAUCUGUCAUUUAUAUUUUAUAAGCAGCCAAUAA